rnacentral:hammerhead_ribozyme from 1 species
GAGCAGAUGAAGAGUCCCAUACUAGGACGAAACGGCCGUCCAGUGC